GUAACAAGGUUUCCGUAGGUGAACCUGCGGAAGGAUCAUUAUCGA
rnacentral:rRNA from 1 species